rnacentral:rRNA from 1 species
UGAGGAAUAUUGGACAAUGGGUGAGAGCCUGAUCCAGCCAUCCCGCGUGAAGGACGACGGCCCUAUGGGUUGUAAACUUCUUUUGUAUAGGGAUAAACCUACUCUCGUGAGAGUAGCUGAAGGUACUAUACGAAUAAGCACCGGCUAACUCCGUGCCAGCAGCCGCGGUAAUACGGAGGGUGCAAGCGUUAUCCGGAUUUAUUGGGUUUAAAGGGUCCGUAGGCGGGCUUGUAAGUCAGUGGUGAAAUCUCAUAGCUUAACUAUGAAACUGCCAUUGAUACUGCAGGUCUUGAGUAAAGUAGAAGUGGCUGGAAUAAGUAGUGUAGCGGUGAAAUGCAUAGAUAUUACUUAGAACACCAAUUGCGAAGGCAGGUCACUAUGUUUUAACUGACACUGAUGGACGAAAGCGUGGGGAGCGAACA